rnacentral:rRNA from 1 species
AGCAGCCGCGGUAAUUCCAGCUCCAAUAGCGUAUAUUAAAGUUGUUGCAGUUAAAAAGCUCGUAGUUGAAUUUCGGGAUUAGUACGUUGGUCGUGCCUUAGGUACGUACUGAUGUUACUGGUUCCUACCUUCUGACGAACCAUCAUGUCAUUAAUUUGGUGUGGUGGGAAAUCAGGACUGUUACUUUGAAAAAAUUAGAGUGUUUAAAGCAGGCUCGCGCUUGAAUACAUUAGCAUGGAAUAAUGAAAUAGGACGUUGACCCUAUUUUGUUGGUUUCUAGGAUUGACGUAAUGAUUAAUAGGGAUAGUUGGGGGCAUUAGUAUUCAAUUGUCAGAGGUGAAAUUCUUGGAUUUAUUGAAGACUAACUACUGCGAAAGCAUUUGCCAAGGAUGUUUUCAUUAAUCAAGAACGAAAGUUAGGGGAUCGAAGACGAUCAGAUACCGUCGUAGUCUUAACCAUAAACUAUGCCGACUAGGGAUCGGAUGAUGUUAUUUUUAAUGACUCA